AUGAUCGGAUCAUAUUUAUAUAUAUUUUUACUUUAAAUUCACUCGUCUUUUCUUGGAGUAACAUGAUCCAAAGAACUUAUUUUUCUGCUAUGUGGGGCUGCUAGAAACUAAAUGAAAAUAAAAGGAGAGCAUCGGGAGGAGAAUAUAGAGAAAAGCAAGCUGCCUUUGCAGCUGGAGGAAAGCAGGUCAGCGACAAAGGGAUCCAAGGAAGUCAGAAGAAUUAGGGGACAGCAACUGGCAAAGCAGAGGAAAUGGAGGAGUCCACACGGGGGACGGAAAAAGAAUCCAAAGAAGG